rnacentral:rRNA from 1 species
UACGAAGGGGGCUAGCGUUGUUCGGAAUUACUGGGCGUAAAGGGCGCGUAGGCUGUGCUGUAAGUCAGGCGUGAAAGCCCCGGGCUCAACCUGGGAAUUGCGCUUGAUACUGCGGCGCUGGAAGGUGGGAGAGGAUGGCGGAAUUCCCAGUGUAGAGGUGAAAUUCGUAGAUAUUGGGAAGAACACCGGUGGCGAAGGCGGGUCUCUGGGCAAUUCCUGACGCUGAGGCGCGAAAGCGUGGGGAGCAAACGGG